rnacentral:rRNA from 1 species
CAGCGCCACAAGUGGCAAUCACGUUUAUUGGGCCUAAAGCAUCCGUAGCCGGCUCUGUAAGUUUUCGGUUAAAUCUGUACGCUCAACGUACAGGCUGCCGGGAAUACUGCAGAGCUAGGGAGUGGGAGAGGUAGACGGUACUCGGUAGGAAGGGGUAAAAUCCUUUGAUCUAUUGAUGACCACCUGUGGCGAAGGCGGUCUACCAGAACACGUCCGACGGUGAGGGAUGAAAGCUGGGGGAGCAAACCGGAUUAGAUACCCGAGUAGUCC